rnacentral:rRNA from 1 species
GACGAACGCUGGAGGCGUGCCUAAUACAUGAAAGUCGAACGCAGUGGGGACGGGUGAGUAACACGUGGGUAACAUCCCAUCAGAGGGGAUAACACUUGGAGACAGGUGCUAAACCGAUACUGAUGGAUGGACCCGUGGUGCAUUGGCUAGUUGGUGAGGUAACGGCUCACCAAGGCCAAGAUGGAGAGCCGACCGGUGGGCGUGAUCGGGACCACUGGGACUGAGACACUGCCCAUACCCCGACGGGAGGCAGCAGUAGGGAAUCUUCGGCAAUGGACGAAAUCCUGACCGAGCAACGCCGCGACAGGGAAGAAGGUUUUCGGAUCGUAAAACUCGGUUGGUAGAGAAGCGGUACCUAUCCAGAAAGCCACGGCUAUCUACGCGCCAGCAGCCGCGGUAAUAC